GAUUUCUGACGAACCGGAGUGGCCCGUUUUCAUUUCGGAAAUGAGUGCCGCUUUGAGUUUGUCAUCCUUCCAGAGAGCUGCGUCUACCGUUUACUCGGCCGGACGUAUGCGAUCUGGAUCUAUUACUUUGAAAAAAUUAGAGUGUUUAAAGCAGGCUUAUGCUGUGAAUACAUUAGCAUGGAAUAAUAAUUUAGGACUUUGGUUCUAUUUUGUUGGUUUCUAGGACUGAAGUAAUGAUUGAUAGGGAUAGUUGGGGGUGCUAGUAUUCCGCGGCCAGAGGUGAAAUUCUUGGAUUCGUGGAAGACUAACUACUGCGAAAGCAUU
rnacentral:rRNA from 1 species